rnacentral:rRNA from 1 species
UGACUGACUGAGUGCCAGCAGCCGCGGUAAUACGUAGGCGGCAAGCGUUGUCCGGAAUUAUUGGGCGUAAAGGGAGCGCAGGCGGGAAGUUAAGCNGACUUUAAAAGUGCGGGGCUCAACCCCGUGAGGGGGUCCGAACUGACUUUCUUGAGUGCAGGAGAGGGAAGCGGAAUUCCUANUGUANCNGUGAAAUGCGUACAU